rnacentral:tRNA from 1 species
GAAACUUAGAAAUUGUUGAAGAUCGAAGAAAUCCUCCGGCUUUGAUAAACUUUUUUAAUCGACUUUUGUCCUUUUAAUUGACAUAGACCCCAGUUCUCUAAUAAAAUGAGGAUAAUACAUUGGGAAUAGCCGGGAUAGCUCAGUUGN